rnacentral:tRNA from 2 species
ACGACCUUAGCUCAGUUGGUAGAGCGGAGGACUGUAGAUCCUUAGGUCACUGGUUCGAAUCCGGUAGGUCGGA